CUCUCCCUACAAGCUGGGCACACAUCUCCUCAUGGACAGAAAGACACACAGCAUGCUCUCUGCAGUGCCCCAGGGCAGCCUUUGCAUUUCUACUGAAAUUUCAAAGGGAAGAAAUACUUGGUCCCCAUCCUUGUCUCUGGCGCCCCAAAGCCAUCUAUUUUUUCUCUCUUACAACACAUGGUCAAGUGGAAAAGGAACUGACCCGGUGAGGCUCAGGCUACCUCUUGCCUAGUGGUAGGUCCUGGAGGCUCAGAGGCUGCUUAAACCAGGUCACCAACACCCAAAUGCACAGGCAGGAUGAUAAUGGGACGGGCCCACAGAACCUAACCUAUUUUCUACUUGGAGACAAGGGAUACUCUAAACUGGCCUUAAACGGAUUGUGCUCUUGGGGAACCACUGCUUCAAUGAUUAAGAAGGCAUCAAAAGAUACCAGGUAUUAUUGAGGUGCUGAGAACAUAAAUAUGAAAAGCGGACAUGCUCUCCUUUUUCAUGGAACAUAAAGCCUAAUGAAAUACAAGUAAAUUACAAAUGAUAUUAAGUUAGACAUUGUGACAAGCAUUGUAAAGGAAAGAAACACAUGCUCUGGAAGAAAUUAAUGGCGAGACCAACUCUGGCUUGCCUGGAAAGAGCAGGCACCUAUGACCUUCCUUUGUAGGGACAACCUUGAACUACAAGAAGGGUAUGAUCCAGGUGAAGAGAACUAAUGAUACACAGGACAGCAUAGGGGACUGGAGGUGUGCAGAAGCCUCUUUGCCAUGGGGAAGAGCACUCAGGCAUGACAGAAAGGGUGCUGCAAUCUUACAGAAGCAGCCGGAAGAUGGCAGAAGAGUGGUUACCAACUGGGAGGAAAGGAGGAAGGAAUGAGGAGAGACUGGCCAAUGGGUACAAAGAUAGCUGGAAGGGAGCAAUAAUGUCUCUUUUAAAGCACAUUAGAGUGAUAUGGUUAACAAUAUGGUUAACAAUUACACUGGGCACUUCAUCAUAGCUACAAGUUAUUUUUUUAAUGUUCUUACUAUGCAGAAAUGAUAAACACACGAGGGAGUGAAUAUACAGGUUUGAUUAUUAUACAACCUAUACAUAUAUAGAAACAUCACACUGUAUCCUAUAAAUAAGUACAAUCACUAGGAAUUCAUUAGAAACAAAACAACCUUUAAACCCGAGGUCUAGGUCUAGGAACAUGUAAAUCUUGUGGUGCUGUCUCCAGUGGAGGACCCACACGUGUGCAUACACAUAUACACAAUCACAGAAUCAUCUCCCCAGACAUAAGGGGCUUCUAAAGCCCUUUGUGGUACCAUAGGGAUCCAAUUAACCACAGUCUCUCACAAACAUUAAAACACUAGUUAGACAUGAAAAGCACUGCUGUGGCCUAUCAAAGGCAAGCCUGCAGCUGACAGAGCAGCCCGGAAUAAAACAAAGACUCAAAGACAGCAGGUUUGCUUUGGAAGCAAUCGACUUUGUAACCACAGUUUGACCCAGGAUUUUGCAGCUGAGACAAGCAGAGGUUGGGGCAGGGUGAGGGUUACCAGUUAACAAGUGUGUCCUGGAGUGGAUCUUAUCCAAUGUGUGCCUCAAGUCCCCAGCACGGAGCCACUUAAGAGGGAAGCUGUACACGUUACUGCAAGGAGAUACACUGGACAAACAGGGCAGAAAUUUCCUUUCAAGUUUUUUUUUUUUAACAAUUCUGGAAUUCUGACUUCUUUCCAAAUGAAUCCACUUUUGGGUUUUUGUACUUCUAAUUCCUAGCUGCAGUAUUAUUGCUGUUACUCAGCCCUGUUCUAAGGACACAUGUGUUUACUAGGUAGCUUACAGCUGACAGUCCCACUCAGCAUUCUGGUUUCCAAACUCCUUGGCUUUCUCCUAAUCGAAUAUUCUUGAAGGCCUAGCAAUGAGCCUUUAAAAAAACUAGCUGCAGAAUGCAGAGCUGAUUGCAAACUUGUCAGCCACAGUUGCUGUCCCCUCUGCUCUGUGGCAUGGAAGGCAGUGGGGCUGGCUGUGCUGGAUGGCUAGGAAUAGCUUCAACAGUGCCUCAGAGAGGCCAUCAGGACACCACAGAAGGACACAGCUCCACAUCUAGAAACAAGUGUGGGACUGCUUUCCUUUGUGCAUGCAGCUCCUACUGCUGAUGGAGCUCUGGGUGAGAGUGAUAUGGGGGAAGGGGGGACAGUUAGUCUUUCCAUACCCAGAGGUUAGGCAUCUUGUGCUCCAAUUAGCAGACAGACUCCAGAAUGGUGGGUUCUGCUACAAUUGGCACUUUUCUCUCUAACCAUUUGGCCUCAGUUGCUCAACCUGUUUACUGGUUGCUCCAACUCUGCCACGCCCUGUGUCCCAUUUCCUGCCCUCCUCAGAGCCCCCCUUAGCUUCUUUCCUGGGAUGCUUUCUAUCCUGACUGCCAUAGCUCUAGUCUAGACUGAUUGCCUCUCACCUACAUGAGCGCUCGUUUUCCUGUCUCUGGUCUCUGUGAGUAUCCAUUCAUUCUGCUUAGUGUUGCUGUUAAAUAAAUCACAGAUUCAUCAAACCUCUCUACUAACUUAAAAAUAAGGUUGAACUUCCCCAUACACACCUAGAGAUUUCCACUAUUUGGUCUCAGUUUCCCCUACCAGCUUCUCUCCAAUCCCUUUCCUCAUGGCAUACUAAACUUCAGGGGCUGCUCAGGUAACCUAUGAACAAAUCCUCCUUACCAUCAAACCAAGAGCCAGCCCUGUGCCCUCAGCCAGGCCAAGCCACGUAGUUACCAGAACGCACCAGGCUUUGCACACACUGCUGCUUCUACCCGGAGCACUCUGGGCUUCUUCCUCUCAGACAGUGCCCCGCCAGUACCCAUUCACUGUUCCAGGCUCAGCAUGAGCAGUGUUUCUCAAUCCCUCUUGGGCAGUAUGGCCACUCCCACAAUGGUGUCCUUGCGGCACUCAGCGCUCAUU